AGGAGCCUAAGGCAGAAGCGGGGGGACAGGCAUUAGCUCCUGAGUUUGCAGGGCUGUCUUACUGCUUUAGAUUCUCAGAGCAUCCUUGACUUCCCCACACCGAGACGCUCUUCAGGUUAAGGAUACGGAGAUGCAGCCUGUGGCCUCACAGCGCAUGCGCACGCAGCUCUGCCUUCAUCUCACGCGAACUUCCUCGACGAUUCUUCCUUCUUAGCCUGAGGAGCCCAUCACUUUAGUUAUCACUGUUUAACUCCUGCUAAGCUCAGACAGGAGAAGAAAGCAACACUUGAUCCACCUACCAGUCGCUGAGCACACUCUGAGGGGGACUCGUGUGGUUUGAGAAGCUUACACUUUCCAGUGAGAUCCAGCAGCUCUUGCGCUAUGGCUUGGACUUUGUCAUAAGCUGCAUCCUGAAGGAACUGAGCCACCAUCAUGCUGACACUGAAAGCUCCCGUGGACUCUCAGAAAACCAGACAAACUCAGGACAGUGAAGAAAUGUUCGCGUUCGUUAAUGAAUACAGGAUUUUAAAGCAGGUAAUGUCCACCUACGAUUUGUUCAAGAUUACAACACACAGGCCUUGUGAA